UUGGGCCGGAGCUAGUGAGUGAUUUUCCCCGUGCAGCUCGAAACGGCAUACGGUACCCCUUCAGCUGCUGAACGAAGGUGCGUGUGAUGUGGUUUUCCACUGAGCGGGUAAGCAGAAGACGAACACCGCCCGCCAAACAAUGGCACAAAAGGGGUAUUACAAGCGAACAAUCGUCAAACUUCCCCUGUUCCGGCGAGAUCCCUUGUCGGAAAACUUUACCGAAAACGUGUGUGUGUGCCAGCCACCUUCACGGCCACCAUCGCAACCCACCGCGCGCUAGACAUUGAUCGGUCAAUUAAUAAUAUUUAAUUGUUUUACAUCGAUACACAUAAACUCACACACAUCGUGCUCGCGUGCUCGUGCGUUUGGGCUCGGUCGCGGACAACACCGAUUUGCUGUCGCGUCGGCCGCCUACCUACACAAGACGGCCGCGGCUGGAAGCGCCGCCACGGUGCAGUUUACAUGCGCGUUCUCGGCCCGCUCGGCGCGCCCGUAUCGUGUGCGUGGACAACCUGACCCACGCUGGCGCGCGCGCGCGCACUCUCGCGCCUAUCUUCUCCACAUUUACAUGUUCGGGAACAACCCCCAACAUCUCCUCCCACCAAAAAAAGGAAAAAGAAACACCAAAAAAACAUGUACCACACAGCACACACACCCGCCGACACUGAGUAGGGUGCAGUAUGGUGGUACCGAACAGGGGUUUUUGAGAAUGAACCUGUCACUACUGAUCGGUGUGUCUGCCUGGUUGGUAGUUGCUGUACCUUGGCCGUACUACCGCGAGUGCAGCCUCUCGAUUUGCGCUGCACCGUUUGCCGCGGCAUUGUCAACUCCCGCGUCAUUCAAAGCCGAACUCUGGGAGCCGGAGCCGAAGUGCAGCGGAGAAGGAUGGGACAUUGAUGCAUUUACCAUGAGCGGUGCAUGCCGACCAGAAGGACAAUUGCAUGUGUGCUACACCGCCUCAUCCCCACCUUCCCCCGUUCGCUUCCCUCCCUCAAACAAGGGCGAAUGAGCUCUGGGGACGGGGGUUUCGAAAUGGGGGCCGUUCAAAACUGCAAGGUGUACGCCGAGUGAUCGAUCGAAUCGUACGACUCGAUCGUAUUUAUCGUGAGUCAUUGUGCAGUUUCUUGCCUUUCUGUUGUCUCUGUCUCGCCCGUUCGAACGUUUGUGGCAGCGAAAAGGGAGAACAUCGGAAAACAAAAAGCCCCAUUACCAUUUUUCUACCCGCCGAUCGGCAUAUGUGUCCCGGUGUCAAGUCCCCCUUCAUGCCC